UAAGUGAAGAGUUUGAUCCUGGCUCAGAGUGAACGCUGGCGGUAGGCCUAACACAUGCAAGUCGAACGGCAGCACAGGAGAGCUUGCUCUCUGGGUGGCGAGUGGCGGACGGGUGAGGAAUACAUCGGAAUCUACUCUGUCGUGGGGGAUAACGUAGGGAAACUUACGCUAAUACCGCAUACGACCUACGGGUGAAAGCAGGGGACCUUCGGGCCUUGCGCGAUUGAA
rnacentral:rRNA from 1 species